AGUGAACGCUGGCGGUAGGCCUAACACAUGCAAGUCGAACGGCAGCACAGGAGAGCUUGCUCUCUGGGUGGCGAGUGGCGGACGGGUGAGGAAUACAUCGGAAUCUACUCUGUCGUGGGGGAUAACGUAGGGAAACUUACGCUAAUACCGCAUACGACCUACGAGUGAAAGCAGGGGACCUUCGGGCCUUGCGCGAUUGAAUGAGCCGAUGUCGGAUUAGCUAGUUGGCGGGGUAAAGGCCCACCAAGGCGACGAUCCGUAGCUGGUCUGAGAGGAUGAUCAGCCACACUGGAACUGAGACACGGUCCAGACUCCUACGGGAGGCAGCUGUGGGGAAUAUUGGACAAUGGGCGCAAGCCUGAUCCAGCCAUACCGCGUGGGUGAAGAAGGCCUUCGGGUUGUAAAGCCCUUUUGUUGGGAAAGAAAUCCAGCUGGCUAAUACCCGGUUGGGAUGACGGUACCCAAAGAAUAAGCACCGGCUAACUUCGUGCCAGCCGCCGCGGUAA
rnacentral:rRNA from 1 species